GAUGAACGCUGGCGGCGUGCCUAAUGCAUGCAAGUCGAGCGAAUGGAUUAAGAGCUUGCUCUUAUGAAGUUAGCGGCGGACGGGUGAGUAAUACGUGGGUAACCUGCCCAUAAGACUGGGAUAACUCCGGGAAACCGGGGCUAACACCGGAUAACAUUUUGAACCGCAUGGUUCGAAAUUGAAAGGCGGCUUCGGCUGUCACUUAUGGAUGGACCCGCGUCGCAUUAGCUAGUUGGUGAGGUAACGGCUCACCAAGGCAACGAUGCGUAGCCGACCUGAGAGGGUGAUCGGCCACACUGGGACUGAGAGACGGCCCAGACUCCUACGGGAGGAAGCAGUAGGGAAUCUUCCGCAAUGGACGAAAGUCUGACGGAGCAACGCCGCGUGAGUGAUGAAGGCUUUCGGGUCGUAAAACUCUGUUGUUAGGGAAGAACAAGUGCUAGUUGAAUAAGCUGGCACCUUGACGGUACCUAACCAGAAAGCCACGGCUAACUACGUGCCAGCAGCCGCCGUAA
rnacentral:rRNA from 1 species